AACAGGUUGAUAUUCCUGUACCACCUCCUCACCGUUUGAGAAAUGGGGGGACGCAGUAGGAUAGGGUAAGCGCGCCGUUGGUUGUGCGCGUCCAAGCAGUAAGGCGUGUGUGUAGGCAAAUCCGCACACUGUAACGUUGAGCUGUGAUGGCGAGUCCGUAUGGACGAAGUUCCUGAUUUCACACUGCCAAGAAAAGCCUCUAUCGAGGUGAGAGGUGCCCGUACCGCAAACCGACACA
rnacentral:rRNA from 1 species